AACGAACGCUGGCGGCAUGCCUAACACAUGCAAGUCGAACGAGACCUUCGUGUCUAGUUGCGCUCGGGUGCGUAACGCGUGGGAACCUGCCCUUAGGUUCGGAAUACUUCCCCGUAAGGGGUGCUAAUACCGGAUAAUGUCCUCUGACCAAAGAUGUAUCGCCUUUGUAUGGGCCCGCGUUGUUUUAGCUGGUUGGUAGGGGAAGAGCCUAUCAAGGCUUAGAUACAUAGCUGGUUUGAGAGGAAGAGCAGCCACACUGGGGCUGAGACACGGUCCAGAAUACUACGGGAGGGAGCAGAGGGGAAUAUAGGAAUACGGGGGAAAGGAUGAACCAGCAAGGGCGGGUGAGUGAUGAAGGCGGGAGGGAAGUGAAGCAGUUUAACACGGGAUGAUAAUGACAGUACCGGGAGAAUAAGCACCGGCUAACUCCGUG
rnacentral:rRNA from 1 species